rnacentral:rRNA from 1 species
GGUAACACUGAAUGGAGGACCGAACCGACUUACGUUGAAAAGUGAGCGGAUGAACUGAGGGUAGCGGAGAAAUUCCAAUCGAACCUGGAGAUAGCUGGUUCUCUCCGAAAUAGCUUUAGGGCUAGCCUCAAGUGAUGAUUAUUGGAGGUAGAGCACUGUUUGGACGAGGGGCCCCUCUCGGGUUACCGAAUUCAGACAAACUCCGAAUGCCAAUUAAUUUAACUUGGGAGUCAGAACAUGGGUGAUAAGGUCCGUGUUCGAAAGGGAAACAGCCCAGACCACCAGCUAAGGUCCCAAAAUAUAUGUUAAGUGGAAAAGGAUGUGGCGUUGCCCAGACAACUAGGAUGUUGGCUUAGAAGCAGCCAUCAUUUAAAGAGUGCGUAAUAGCUCACUAGUCGAGUGACACUGCGCCGAAAAUGUACCGGGGCUAAACAUAUUACCGAAGCUGUGGAUUGUCCUUUGGACAAUGGUAGGAGAGCGUU